UGAAAAGAUAGGGUGAUUCUCUCCUCACUUUCUGUAUUCUGUAAGGAGUGGCCAUUGUCCUCAUGCUCUGGAAACCUCUGUGAACUGGAUCUGGUCUUGCCCACACGCAAAUGGAAAUGCCUAGAUGGAACUAAGACCGACGGAAAGGGUUUGGCCAAGUCCCAAAGAAAAGAAAAUGAUUCGACCCUAAGGAGGCAGACAGUCCUGAUUCCGGGCACACGAGGUAACUGAAGUGUAAUCACAUCGUCAAGAUGAUCAUGUGAUCUUGUGACCCAAAAGAAGAGACUGGACUCCUGGGCCACUGAGGAGAGAUGAAGCUGAGGAAGGUGGGCUGGCAGGGAGGCCUUAGAAGAAAAUGCGGGGAUGUCUGCGAGAAUUCCCAAGACAUUCAAGUGUCAUGCACAGUACAGACCCAGUCACGCUUUCACGGAGCUGCUCUUCUGGUAGAGACAGACAGACAAAUGCAGACACAUCCGAUGUGCUCCAGGACGGUC